UCCAAAAUGGCCACCAUUUCACUUAUUUAUUUACAUAUCUUUGCUUCUGGAAAUGUUAAAAACCUAAUUUAAGUAUCAAAAUAUGUAUUUUAGGG